rnacentral:hammerhead_ribozyme from 1 species
ACCCAGCUGACGAGUCCUAAAUAGGACGAAACGCGCGUCGUGGAU